GCGAUGUGCACGAUAGACGAAGACACAGACGGCGGUCCGGUUGGAAAAGUCGCUAGAAAUGUCAGUUAGCAAGUGGAAAUCACCGGAAAAACUACGUAAAGCGGCAGAAACCAAAGCGAUUAGCGGCAAACAGCGCAGCAAACGCUAACGCACAACAGCAGAGCAGCGCGUAGGGCAGCAGGUCCGCAAAAUGGAUUAAAAUAAAAACAAUAAUCGAAUAAAAACACAAUAUAAACUUUCAGCAAUCAUCAUAAAUCUUCUCUCGAUGUUUUACGCAUCAUUUAAUAAUUAAGAAGCAAUCGCAACCGUUCCGUUCCGUUUUGUGCUAAUGCAAAAAGUAUACGACAUACAAAUAUACAUAAAUCUUUCAACUUCACUAAAGUGCAAUAACUAUCAUAUAAACAACCCUAUCGAAUAAAUAUAAAUCUAUAAAAAUAUAUGCGAAUGCUUGCGCCACUAUCUAGCUGCAAUAUAUACAAAAAUUGACUCUGGGACUUUGGGGCAAGCCUUUAAGCUGGCAUUACAAGCGGACAGGCUGGACAGGCUGGUGGAAUAACGCAAUAUAUUUGAUAAGUCUCUAGACUCCUUUUUCCCAUAGAUGCCAAGAAACAAUCCUUCGUUAUAUUGAGUGUUGUGCAUAAACCACUUUUACUAAGAAAUGGAAAUUACCAAUUAAAUUUAUUGGCGCUUGACUUUUGUCUGGUUUAUUGAGUGAAGCUACCGAAUAACGGUAAGUAACCUUUUCUUAACCUUUUGCAAUACAGUCUAUGCAAAGCAGUUUCAGCUAAGUGGGCAAUUGUAUAACCAUAUAUAUGUAUAUUUGUGUGUAUGUGUGUGUGUGUGUAUUUCGACAAAGUCGCUUGGUUUCCGUUUCCGGCGUUGGCUUUGGCUUUCGCUUUUUCAUUUCCGCCUAAUAAACUACAUAAUUAAACUGGCAGCAAUGGGAUUAAAGGAUUCCUACUGCCUGC
rnacentral:sRNA from 1 species